AACGAACGCUGGCGGCAUGCCUAACACAUGCAAGUCGAACGAGACCUUCGGGUCUAGUGGCGCACGGGUGCGUAACGCGUGGGAACCUGCCCUUAGGUUCGGAAUAACUCCCCGAAAGGGGUGCUAAUACCGGAUAAUGUCUUCGGACCAAAGAUUUAUCGCCUUUGGAUGGGCCCGCGUUGGAUUAGCUAGUUGGUAGGGUAAAAGCCUACCAAGGCGACGAUCCAUAGCUGGUCUGAGAGGAUGAUCAGCCACACUGGGACUGAGACACGGCCCAGACUCCUACGGGAGGCAGCAGUGGGGAAUAUUGGAAAAGGGGCGAAAGCCUGAUCCAGCAAUGCCGCGUGAGUGAUGAAGGCCUUAGGGUUGUAAAGCUCUUUUACCCGGGAUGAUAAUGACAUUACCGGGAGAAUAAGCGCCGGCUAACUCCGUG
rnacentral:rRNA from 1 species